UGUCUGACAGUUUGCAGUUGUUAUAUUAGAGAUUUAUAUGGGGGUGUUGCUGCCUGCAGUGAGUUGCAUUGUCACAAUCGAAGCUACAACGAGAUGGAAAAAAUUACUGAUUAUUCAAUUAGCUGUCAACCAUUAAAUUAAAAAAUACUUUAAGACUGAUAUUUUGAUAAUCAAUGAAUCGGUCUGAGUAUUUUUUUUUUUUUAAAAGGAAACAACAUAAAAAUGAUCGAAUUGCAUCUGAGAAUCCAGGAUUAUGUGAUUUCAGUAUCUUUCUGAUCCAGUUUGACCUGAUCCAAGCAAGUUUGCAAGUAUGGAAGACGCCCAGAAAAUCAAGGUGGAGGGGUGAAAGGAGAGAGGCAGGAAUUCAUAGAUCUGCACAUUCUAGGCUCGAAUGAGGAGGUCCUACUUAGAAAUUCUGAGUGCACGUUUGGCUCCGUCUCCUCUUCCAAGAGGGAGAACCACAGCUCCAAAGCGUGUACAAUCAUUGGACUUGUCCAUCGGUGGAGUUUGGAGAGGAGGGAUGGAGGAGCAUUGUGAGAAGAUGGACGAGCCCCACACACCGCUCUCCAAACAGCAGCUUGUACAGCUGAUCAGAUCCCUGAUCUUAGUGGAACAGAGCCAAGAGCCAAGGAUCAUAGCGUCAGACCUGAAAUAUCUUCAGGAAGACCUGCAGCUAAAGAAGGCAAAUGUUUACAGGUCCAUACCUUAUUCACGGUUUGGCUCCAACAGGGAUGCUCACUGCUACAGGAAGGCCUAUCCUCAUCUAGUGGCAUUCAAAGUUUCGUGUCAGGAGUGGGGCCAAGUUCUGCUGAGGAACAAAGAGUGGGACGCUGCGUUGGAGCACUCGUUGAUGGCGUGGCGAUACACCAGCGAGUUGCCGCAGUGGGACACGGCGAACCACAACGCUCUCCGAGAACAGUGUUACAGCAUCCUGGCAGCUCACAGCCUCACCGCUCUGGAGCACUACCGCCCCGAACCCAACAGAGGACGCGAGCUGCUCAGAAGGUUGAAGAUGGCUCAGCUGCAUAGCCAGUCAGUUGUUCCCUGUAUUCAGGAGCUGCAGAGGAUUAUGGGAUGCUGUGAUGACUCAUCCAUGGAUACAAAAUGAUAGGAGAAUGCACCUCAACAGCUGGAUUCAUGGCAGUGAAAAGUGCGCUCAGUGAUUUAUGUGUGUUAAUGGGCCAAAAACAUUUUACAUGGUGGUGUUUGUUUGGAAAAACCACUCCAGUAUUCUUCCAAAGGGCACGGUCGCCAGUGCAAAAUUGCCAAAAGUGCCACACAAUGCGGGUUUGUAAAGGUGAUGAAAACCACCCUCUAAAUGGUUGGAAAUGCAAUAAAACCUCUUAUUUAUUCACGUGGCAUUUUAACAUCAACUGCAAAGUGUCAUGAAGAGGAGUGCAUUCAUUGGUUAAUGGAGCAUUCUGUUCAUACAUUACCUUGCAGGCUAUAAAAUAUGUUCCCUCAUUUCUAAGGAGCAUUCACACUCUGACAAAUGUUAUGGUCACUUGGUGCUGGCAGUGAUGUAAUGAAAAUAUUUGUAUGUUUUUAGAUCUUUGUAUAAUGUAGUCUGGAUUGAAAUGUAAAGAAUAUAAAAUGUCUCAUGUUGCUUUAUGGGUGUGUAUAUAUGUUACUGUUCACGAUACUUGAAGCUGUGGCCUUUUGUCUUCAACUAGUUAAGUUUUAUGUGUUGUAGAGAAUUGUCUGUCAUCGAUUGCACUGUUUGUCCUGAAAACUUGAAACUUGAUAAAAUAGGUUCCUAAUUUAAAUAAAUUCCUUACUUUGAACUGCAGAAAAGCUUCUUUGUCCAUUGUGUUGUGGCCUCAGCAUUAUCCUUGAUCCUCUGUGUGCGAUCAUCAAUAUCAAACAGCAGCUGUAGUGUUUACCUCUGAU
ensembl:lncRNA